GAAGAAUUCAAAUAUAUUAUAUAGAUACACCACCCCCUUAAAUUGUUGGAACAUAAUUCCUCAUCCCUUAAGUGUGGCUACGUCUACUGACUUGCUUUCAAAGAGUACCGUAGCGAAGGGAAGAAGACAAUAACUUUAUAGUAGAGAAACCUGGCAAAAUUUGCUGUGGAAACACCUGGCAUCCCUUGGCCAUGUGACAAAGGUAAACAUUGUCAGUGAUGGUACAGGGAUAACAUGUACUCUUGGUACGAUGUGUUGAGAAUAUUGCUUCACUUCUGUCGUCUUCCAACCAAACACACAUAACCCCAGUCUAAUCAUGAGAAAACCUCAGACACCCCAAUAGAGUGACGUCUUAAAAUAUCUGAUCUGUACUUCUCGAAACUGUCAGGUGAAGAAAAACAAAGAAAUUCUGAGAAACUGUCUCAAGCCAAGAAAAACCUAAGGAGACAUGACAAUUAAAUGUAAUGUGAUUUCUGGAUGGGAUCCUGGAGCGGAAAAAUGAUAUUAGCUCUUUCGUGUGCAGUAGAAUAUUGGAGAGACAAUGUAAAUCACAUGAUGACCUUUUUCUUUGAUUAUUGAAUAUUUGGCAAGCAUUCCUUUUAUUUUAUGAAAAUCUUGAAGUAGAAUCGACAGUGAGUAGGAGUGACCCCACCAAGACGGUGGAGUGGGAGAUCUCAGGUUCUGGCCCGGCAAAAGGUCAACAAUUAGACAGCUAUCUGUGGACAAAACCAGCUCUGGGAGAGGGCUAGAGUCUGCUUAAGCAGCUUUGACAACACAGCGGAACACAGACUUGAGAAUAAUCACACAAAAAGGGAAGGAGGAAUGGCCUCAUCCUCCUGAGUCACCCUCCCCCAGGAGCCGGCAUUGCUCAGGACCAAGAGGAAACUCCAGCUGGGAGGAGUUCCCCUCACCAGGAAAGGGAGAGCAGAGUGAGUGACCAGCUGUCCCAGGAUUUUGGGGCACCGCAGGCAGGACCACUUCAGUUUCUCCUGAUCCAGAGACCAGCGGAGCUGACACCUACAGAAAUGGCUAGCGACGAGGAAGAAAAACAGAGUUUACUGUAUCAGCCACACAGUAGCAGUGACAGUGGCUGCCAGGGACCUGCUCUGCAGAUGACCUCAGCAGCUUUCGCCACUGAAGAAACCAAGGGCCAGUGCAGCUGCUGUGGAGCGCCUGCGGGUUUCACUGUUUUGGGGUUUUUUUCACCCCACAGGUAUUAGCAUUGGCAGAGGCCAGCUGCCUGAGACCCUCUCCCACACACCCCCCACCCCUGCCUCUGCAGAGCUCGAGACCCACGUGGGCAGCCAGCCCAGGCUUCUGUGGCUGUGCAAGUACAGGAUACCAGGCUACAGUCCGGUAGCUGACCCCCACCGCCAUGCAUAUGACAGUGGGGAGACCUUACAGCAGCCACGGAGUACAUGCUGACAGCCAGGACCCCGCAGCUGCUUGCGGGCCCAGAUUUGACCCUUUCUCCUGUCACUGGCCUGCUCCACCAGGCUCACUUACAGCUAGCCCCUCCAGCGGUGCGCCUGCACACCUUGGCCUGACUUCCAACACCGACCCUCACUGCUGUGUGUCCACUGGUGAGAACCAGCAGCCACGGUAGUGCAUGCUGACAGCUACACCCCAUAGCUGUCAGUGAACCCACAGUUGGCCCCAGCCCUUGCUGCUUGCCCUGGUGCCACCCCCACGUGUGUGUUUGCAACUGGCACCUGCAGAGGCCCCCACAGACAAGUGCAUGCACACUGCCAGCUCUGGCAACCACCGUGGCCUGUCUGGUCCCUAGCCACUGGAUCUGGAGGCACUGCUGAGGAUCCCAACAGCCCUUGCAGCCUCUAUAGACCCUCAGCCAUGCUUACCAAGGACCACACAGGUGUUGAUGCUGUGCACCACAGAGGCCUGAGGCGACGAUUCACAACCCCCCAGCUACUCCCGGCCCAAAGGUGACACAAGCGCCCACACUGGGCACCCUGCACCACUAGACCCAGGGUCACAGCAUGCUCCAGUGUGCCACCACCCACAGGUGAAGGUCAUUCCUUACCGGUCAGGCCAUAAAGUAUGGAAGAGGUGAUUGCAUCUUCAAAAUGCAUCUUCAAAUGUGCAGACACCUACACAAGGCUACAAGAAUCACUAAGAAUCAGGAAACUCUGACUCCACCAAAGGAACACGGUAAAUCCAGUAACUGAUCACAGGACGUGAAGAUCCAGGAAAUGUCCCACAGAGCAUUCAAAAUAAUUAUUCCAAAGAUGCUCAGAGAGCUACAACAGAACACAGACAAACAAUUUAACAAAAUCAAGAAAACACAAGAACAAAAUGAAAAGUUCAACAAAGAGAUAGAAAAUAUAAAAAAGAACCAAACAGAGAUAUAUGUGAUAUAAUGAAAAAAAUAGGACACAGGAGGAAGGGAAAAUAGUUUAAAAGUUCAAAAUUUUUAUCAGAGCUGAGAAAGAUGGAAACAAUAAUUUGUAUUAACCCACAAUGAGACAAGGAUGCAUAUUGUAAUCUCUAAUAUAAUCACUAAAACAUGGUUAAAAAUAUGUAACUUACAAAUUGGAGGUGGAAAAAAAAAGGAAAUGAUAUUUGUAUGAUCUAAAAGUCAUCAAGACAGGAAAAAGAUCAUGUAACAAAAAAUGUGAGACAAAUAGAAAACGAAAAGUAAGAUGGCAGAUCUAAACAAAAAUGUAUUAUUAAUUACAUCAAAUUAAAAAGAGAAAUGCACCAAGUUUCAGAUUGUCAAACCAGAUAAAAAAUCACCCCACUUUCAUACAGCUUACAAGGCACUUCUGAAGAGUAUUCAUAAUGAUUUAAAGCAAUAUGCAGGCAAAUAUUAAUCAAAAGAAACCGGUAUACUUACAUCAUGCAAUGUUGAGUAAGGGGAUCUUUAAUGCAGAUAAAGAGGAACACUUCGUAAUAAUAAAACAGUUAAUCCAACAGGAAAAACCAUAAAUUCUCUUGAUAUACCUCCCAGAAUUAAUCUAUUCCAGGAACCAUCAUGCCAGUACAUAAAUAUGUUGUUCUGCUUCACAACGUUUUCUAUGAACCUGUCACUAAGAAUACAUAUUGGUAACCAGUAUGAACAAUUAAAACUGACACUCAUGAAAUCUAAUUGGUUGGUUACUUUAUCUAUGACACUGGUUUCAGUUUCUAGGAAAUAUGAAUGGUAGACCCAGUAGUUACUUCCCAGGUGACAAUGUUAUGCUGGGUACCAACUUGUCUUAUUGCAUCCAUAACAAUGGCAGAAUACACUUGACUUUGAUUGCCUCCUAUCUUUACAUUACUCAUUCUGGAAAUGUUUAAUAAAAAAGGCUUCACAAUUUUUUUACUUAGGGACUUUUAAAUUUAAAUGUUUACACUUUAUAUUUUCAUCUUAAAUGUAAGGCCCGAUAGUUGUAAAGCUAUGGAUAGCAUAUGCUUCAGAAUUUUUUCCAUACCUAAUUACUAAAAUUAUUUUUAAACAUCUAAGGAAGUUAUCAAUGUUAAAAAAAUAAUCUAAUUACCAAUUAGUGAUCUGAACCUUCUUAAGAAGUCAUAGUUUAAAUCACUAAUUGAAUUUGCUAUUUUAAAGGGCACUUCAGUCAGGAAAAAAAUAUAAUUGAAAAUUAUCAUUUUGAAAAUAUCUUAAUUAGUUAGCAAACGGUCUGGUUUGUAAAGUCUACCAUCAGAUAAAAAUUGAUUCUAAAUAGCAAAGUGUUUGUUCCAGUUGCUAGGAUUGUAACUGAGAAUGCAUGCCAAAAUUAAAUUGCUGUCAGAGUUUUCUAGGCUACUGACUUGAAAAUUUCUGAGAUCUAGGUAAUAAUUUAUCUGAUACCUCCUGUUAUUAUAUUGAAAAAUGCUUGGCUUUUGUGAGUGAUUCAGCUUGCCAAUUAGUCCUACAGCUCUGUUGAGGGAACAAAGAUAUUAAACAAGGCUGCUCUGUAAUCUAGGAGAUUCCCCGCAGUGAUUUCAUGUACCGCCAAACUUCACAGAUUGACAGUUUAUUGUAAUCCUAGACAGCAAAGCAGAAAUAUGCACAAGAGGUGGAUAUUUUGCCUUGGAAAAGAGAUAAAGAGUCUAAGUACAAUCUCUCUACUAUGGUGAAUAUUGGUAUUUUUUUGACCUAUGGUAAAAAUAAAAGACAUGGGUAUAAUCUGUUCCACCUGCAGCUUUAUGCCAAAGAUAAUACACAAAUGAAACAAAAAUCUUACCACGAUUUUGAAAAAAAUAAAUGAAAAUAUAUGCAAAUGACGUAAUAUCCUCUUUAUGUUUGUUUUAGAGAAGUAUAUGAUACUAAUUUAUGGGCCAUUAAUUGGUAUACAAUAUUUAGAACUUGGAUGGUUAUUAGAUACAAUUAAUCAAACCACUCAUUUUACAAAUGAGGAAAAUGAGCCCAGGGAUCAAGUAUUUGUGGGAGAUUCAUCAAUCUUGGACUCAAAUCCACCACCUUGACUACAUCAACAGCAUAUCAUAUUCUAACACAAAUGAGUAUUUUCUUCUCUGAAUGCCAUGUUAUAAUCUGGGUCCUUUAAGAAUAGAUAUAAUGAUUGGUUAAUUUUUUGAAUUCGUAGUAGCUUAUAUCACGUUUGGACCAUUAUAAAUGUUAAAUAUUACUAGAUAAAGGAGAUAAUGUCAUCAUAAAAUUCCUCAGUUAUACUUUAAUCACUUAAG
ensembl:lncRNA